rnacentral:rRNA from 1 species
GAUGAACGCUAGCGACAGGCUUAACACAUGCAAGUCGAGGGGCAGCACGAUGUAGCAAUACAUUGGUGGCGACCGGCGCACGGGUGAGUAACGCGUAUGCAACCUACCUAUCAGAGGGGAAUAACCCGGCGAAAGUCGGACUAAUACCGCAUAAAACAGGGGUUCCACAUGGAAAUAUUUGUUAAAGAAUUAUCGCUGAUAGAUGGGCAUGCGUUCCAUUAGAUAGUUGGUGAGGUAACGGCUCACCAAGUCCACGAUGGAUAGGGGUUCUGAGAGGAAGGUCCCCCACACUGGUACUGAGACACGGACCAGACUCCUACGGGAGGCAGCAGUGAGGAAUAUUGGUCAAUGGGCGAGAGCCUGAACCAGCCAAGUCGCGUGAAGGAUGAAGGAUCUAUGGUUUGUAAACUUCUUUUAUAUGGGAAUAAAGUGAGGAACGUGUUCCUUUUUGUAUGUACCAUAUGAAUAAGCAUCGGCUAACUCCGUGCCAGCAGCCGCGGUAAUACGGAGGAUGCGAGCGUUAUCCGGAUUUAUUGGGUUUAAAGGGUGCGUAGGUGGUUAAUUAAGUCAGCGGUGAAAGUUUGUGGCUCAACCAUAAAAUUGCCGUUGAAACUGGUUGACUUGAGUAUAUUUGAGGUAGGCGGAAUGCGUGGUGUAGCGGUGAAAUGCAUAGAUAUCACGCAGAACUCCGAUUGCGAAGGCAGCUUACUAAACUAUAACUGACACUGAAGCACGAAAGCGUGGGGAUCAAACAGGAUUAGAUACCCUGGUAGUCCACGCAGUAAACGAUGAUUACUAGCUGUUUGCGAUACACAGUAAGCGGCACAGCGAAAGCGUUAAGUAAUCCACCUGGG